rnacentral:rRNA from 1 species
AUUGAACGCUGGCGGCAGGCCUAACACAUGCAAGUCGAGCGAGCGGCGGACGGGUGAGUAAUGUCUGGGAAAAUGCCUGAUGGAGGGGGAUAACUACUGGAAACGGUAGCUAAUACCGCAUACCAUCAGAUGUGCCCAGAUGGGAUUGGCUGGUAGGUGGGGUAACGGCUCACCUAGUCGACGAUCCCUAGCUGGUCUGAGAGGAUGACCAGCCACACUGGAACUGAGACACGGUCAAGACUCCGACGGGAGGCAGCAGUGGGGAAUAUUGCACAAUGGGGGCAAGCCUGAUGCAGCCAUGCGGCGUGUAUGAAGAAGGCCUUCGGGUUGGAAAGCACUGUAAGCGGGGAGGCGUUACCCGAAGAAGAAGCACCGGCUAACUCCGUGCCAGCAGCCGCGGUAAUAC